CAGCAUUACCCAGCGCACACGGCCGGGUGCCGCUGCCGGCUCAGCGUCCCGCCGUGUCCCGGGCGCUGCGGUGGCGGCUGCGCAGCUCGGGUGCUGCCCCGGCUCUUCGGCCUCAGCCCGGCGCGUUUUCCCCGUCGCUUACUGGGUGCCUGACUUUUUUGUCCGACUGAUACCAAAUUCGGGCGAGGAAAGGAGGGAGGGAAAACUUCCGCGGGACAACAAAUCGAAGGAAGACUCAAAGGUCACGGCGUGGAAUUUACCUYGGCGCUGCGCUGCCCGCCGGCUUCCCCGGGGACCGUGAGCCGCUCCGCUGCCUGCGCCGGGGCGGCUUUCGGAGCGGCCCAGCCGGCCGUGGCCCCUUUUUCGGCGACAGGCCCUGACCUCGCACGGGCGACCGCCCACCGCCGCAGGCACCGGUGCUCCUCCGAGGCCGAAGGGUGCCGGGGGCUCCGGCGAGCUGCCGCCCGUCCUGACUGCCCGCUGUCUCGCUGCGCUGCGGCAUUCGGGUUGCUGCGCCGUCUCCUGAGAGUUUGUUCCUCUCCUGACUAACRCAAGGAACGAGUGACCCCACGCCACCAGUGACCUGUAUCUGCGGAUCUUGGGAAACCUGGCAAGAUCACAGCCCUGUUGAAUUCGUAACCCACCCCUGGUUUAGCAGGAAAUACGGUGACUUCGCAGCGUGCCCGGGUCAGGCUGGCYGGCUCCCACCUGCUGCAAGCGCCGCGUCGUCCUUCGCGAAGGGAAGAGCAACAUCUACCGCGUCGCGCGGAGAGCGUUUCCCGGAGCCUGYAACCUCCCGAGCUGGGUUUCGUUCCCUCCCCCUCCAGCCCAGCGCAGGAUCCCCUGGCGUAAAAACAUAACCGGUCACGCAAUGAGCACAUCAAAGCCGGGCGCUGCUGCAGCCGCGCAGAGGGGUGCUGGAGGGGGCUGAUGCCCGCUUGCCGGGCAGGAACGCGGGCGGCCGCGAGCGCCGGCRGGAAAGUGGGUCCAAGAAACCUCGCGCUUCCUCCCGGGAACGCGGCGGCACGCGGCCGACGUGGAGGAAGAGCGCAGCGCAGAGGAAGGGCACGCUGCUGCGGCCGUGCCUCCCCGAGAGCCCGGCCACGGUGCCCGGCGCUGGCCGGGGCUGGUGCCGGGAGAAGCACCUCGUCUGGGCAGCAGAGCUGGAGGAGCAGCUCCCGAGCUCCGGAGCUGACAAACCGGAAAAUAAAUCUGGGAACAAACUGUGUCAUGACAGGCGGACACGAAGAAUAUGCUGGGGUGGCUGCCUUGGUCUGCGGCUCCGGGAGGCCCUCGAAGCGGCCGGGGACCUGCAGCGCUGGGGACAGCGCGAGCCGCAGCACGCUCACGGCAUCCGUGCGCUCACCGGCCCGCUGAGCCYGUGCGGUUGGGUCCCUUCAGAUACCACCGUGGUUUGGACUUGCUGCCAGCAAUGAUGCAYUCGGUUACCCUUGCUUUAUAGGAAGAAAGUAAGGAAAAGGGAGCAAAAAACAAAUUAGCAUUUUUUUUUCCAAAUGAAGAACAAAAUAAUUCCAAUUGAGACUGGGAGGGGUGGGAUCGCGGCCUCAUCCAUCUAUUUCAGCCACUUUGAGAUUAGAUGUAUGCUGGCACAGAGCUGGAAGCACUCGUACCCUCCGCUGCUGCGGAUCCCUGUCGCUGCUGCUGCCCAUCCGCGGCUCGGCCAGCUCCUACUAUCUUGUUUUAAUUACGCUUCCUGGCCGGGGGGGGGGUUUGCAACAAUGGUUCAAAAACAGGCGCUGGAAAGAGCGACUCACUUGCUGAGCCAUUGAGGAUGUUGUUUAUAUGUUAGAUCCUGUUUUCUUCCUCGAGCAAAGUGCUUCUCCUCCCAGGUGCAUCUCCCACGGCUUUCCCCGCCACGCCAAAGCGCGCGGGAGCUUCCUGAGGCCUCUGUGAACGGGGAGCGGGGCGAGAGCCGGCGGGGCUGCGGCGUGCCGGGCAAAGGCUAUCUGCCCCCCGCCUCGCGGCUCCCAGGCGUCUCAAGGGCUGCCGCUGCCCCAAGAGGUCGGCCGGUUUGUGCCUCCGSUCACAUCGCCCUGAGCUCUCCCAGCGCCGAAGCAGCGCUGGCGGGGAGCUGCUGCUGCAGCAAGGGGGGCCCUGGGCAAACGUCCUGGGCUGGCUGAAACUGCAGCGUGAUGAAUGAAGCCCUCUCCGUGUCGGUGGUGGUGAAUUCAAGAUGCGAUUUAAAUGUGAUGCACGC
ensembl:lncRNA